UUUUAACUCAGUGGUUAGAGUGUUCGCUUUACACGCGAAAAGUCGCAGGUUCGAUCCCUGCAAG
rnacentral:tRNA from 1 species